UACGUAGGGUGCGAGCGUUAAUCGGAAUUACUGGGCGUAAAGCGUGCGCAGGCGGUUAUGUAAGACAGAUGUGAAAUCCCCGGGCUCAACCUGGGAACUGCAUUUGUGACUGCAUAGCUAGAGUACGGUAGAGGGGAUGGAAUUCCGCGUGUAGCAGUGAAAUGCGUAGAUAUGCGGAGGAACACCGAUGGCGAAGGCAAUCCCCUGGACCUGUACUGACGCUCAUGCACGAAAGCGUGGGGAGCAAACAGG
rnacentral:rRNA from 1 species